rnacentral:lncRNA from 1 species
UCAGUAUCUCCAUAGCUCUUUACUGCUAUGGUUGGCCCCAGUCAUUUAGGGAACUCAUCACUCAUGCAGAGCGUCACUCAGCAGUGGUGCUUAGGAGCAUCAGCUUGCAUCGGGGCAGGCUUGGUUCCAAAGCCCAGGCCUCCUCCAUGUGGUUCCACAACAGGAAAAGGGAACAAUCAGACCUCUUCCAGUGUGGUCAUGAGGAUACAAGAAGAUCAUGUCAAUAUUGGCAUUCAUAAUGGCCAGACACUGUGGCGCAUGCCUGUAAUCCCAGCAAUUUGGGAGGCUGAGGUGGGCAGAUGGCGUGAGCCCCAGAAUUUGAAACCAGCCUGGGCAACAUGGCAAAACCAGUCUCUUCUGAAAAUACAAAAAAUUGGCUAGGCUUAGUGGUGCACAUCUGUAGUCUCAGCUACUUGGGAGGCUGAGGUGGGAGGAUUGCUUAAACCCAGGGAGGCUGAGGCUUCAGUGAGCUAUGAUGACACCACUGUACUCCAGCCUGGGUGACAGAGCGAUACCCUAUCUCAAAACAAAAACAAAGGCAAAACAACAUUCAAAAUAGUAGCAAUAGCUACUAUGUGCCAAGCCCAGACACCUCUUUGAGUCCUUGCUGUCACCCUAUCAGGUAAGUGUGCUUCGAAGUUACACGAAGCAGAUGGCUUAGUAUCUGGCCCAUGGUAAGGGCCUAAAAAGUGGUAGCCCCAGUGGUGGGGAUGCUGCUGCUGCUGCUGACCAUUAACCCCCAUCUGCUCCACCUUCUUCCAGGCAGCCUGUGAAACGUUUGAUGUCCGAAGCCAACAGCACAUUCAGAUCCCCAAGCUCUACACCUCCAAUGUGACCUGGGGCUUGCACCACUUCAGGCUCGUGCAGGACUCACAGCCUUUGGACCUCAGCUAAGGGACCUGCUUCUCUGUAGCACAUGGGGCUUGUUUGUGUUGGGGUCUGAGCCCUGAGCUCAUGGUCAAGGAGAACCCCAGGUCCUUCUGAACAGAGACAGCUGGCCUCGGGGCCUCCCUCUCACUGCAUGCAAGAGCCUGUUAGGGCACAAGACUCAAGGCGCUGAGGGAGGCUGUUUCAGGAGGGAGCCGCAGAAGGAUGGUGGAGAGAGAAGGGGACAGCAUCCGCCGAGGGCCUACUGUGUGCCAGGCACUGUCCAGGGCUCCUGGCCCACAUGGGCUAAGUGAAUCUGGACACUCCUCCUGGGAGAAAGGCACAGAUGGAGAAAUUGCAGUUCAGGGAGGUGAAGCAAGCUGCUAGCCUGUGGCCACUUUGGGAUCUGAGCGCCAGCCUUCUAGCCACAAAGGCAGCAAAGGGUCAUGAAGAAGGCAUCACAGAGGCGAUUCCAGGCUGUAGUGGUGAACUCUCCACUCUGCACCCCCAGGUGCUGUGCCCUGUGCCCUGAUUAGAUAGUCCUGAAGGUUUCUACAUGUUUAAGAUAUCCCCAAUGUCAACGAUGCUCUCCUGUGGAUCCCAAGCUGUGGAGAUGUCCUGGGACUUUCCAUUUUAGGUUCCUAAAUUGAAUUUCCCAACACCUAGAAGCAACCCAGCUGCCCUGUAUCAGACCAAGGACCUUUAUUUGUGAUUCAGAAACAGUGGAAUAAAAGGAAAGGAAAGAAAACCCCAACAGCCACCUCAGGAGGAUGCCCCAAGGGUAGUGCUCUGGUGUCACUGACUCAGACAUGUGGGGGCUUCUGCCACCCACGCUCAAGAGCCACUUUGCCGUUUCACCGUCUCUGUGUCCUCCACAGCCCUCAGCAGCAUGCACGCCAAUAACAUGUUCACCACGAGGCUCAAAUCUCAGCAGAAGCUACAGAGUCCAACAUCCAGGUAAGGGAAAGUGCAGGGCUUCUCGGGUGAUGCUCUACUGAUUUUAUUUUAAUGAAUGAAAGACCAGAAGAAGUCAGUCUUUGAAGGGAGAGGAGAGGAGCAUCUGCUGGCAUUAGCAGCCAUGCCAUCGGUAGGACUGGCUCACCUGGUAACCUGUGGCCACCUGUGCUUUUACAUCUACUCUUGGUUAACCACGGGCCACUUUUCCAGCUUGGACUCUAAGCGUCUGUUCCACUUCCUCUCCUUCCUCAUUGAACUCUUUCACUAAAAGGAGAGUGCAAGAGAG